rnacentral:tRNA from 1 species
AAAGAAUUAGUUAAAAAAUAACAUAAAUAUGUCAAAUUCAAAUUAUUAUAUUAUAUAAUAUUCUUUU